AAUAUUUGCGAAUCACCCUCUCUCUCGUGGAGUGCCUCGUGAAAUGUUCGGCUUGCAUCAACGAGAUGGCCUGUUUCCUUCGCUAUUUCUCCUCUCCAAAACCCUAAUUUUUUUUUAAACUAUUCUGGAUUUCCUUGUUGCCCUAUAGUUGGUGGCGCCGCUCAAGUCUAAUGGUUACUGCAAUAGCCACUCCGGCGGCUAUUGUUUGUUCCAGCCGGCGUAAGGAUCAAAUAUUCAGUUACUCAGCAUCAAUCACCAGGGCUACGUUUUCUUUGGCUUUUGUUUCCUUUAAUAAGUCGUCUUCUUCUGUAAACCUCUGUUCUUUUCUCGGCAAUUUCCAUCAGACCAGCGAUGAAAUGUUGACAAGCUUCAGUGCUAGAGGUUCUCAGUUUCUGUGUCCUGUAUUUUGUGAAGUUGACGGUCGCAAAGAGGGAGAUGCCAAGAAACAAAGGGUAGCAUAUGCCAUUACAGUGAAAUCGGAUGAAACAACCAAUAGGCUUGUAUUAGAUAUCCAAAAUUCAGUCUCAUCUGAACGGAAGAAGAUGUUGAAAGUGGAGAGAAAUCCCAAGCGUCUCAACAAUAGUGUGUCACAGAGGAACAAACUUGAAUGUUACCAGGUCAUCCAAUAUCCUCUGAAAACUGAGUCUACUAUGGGGAAUAUAUUACGUCAUAAUACUUUGGUUUUUGUUGUUCACAAAGAUGCUGACAAGAAGAGCAUAAGGGAUGCUGUAAAGAAACUGUUUAAGAUUGAAUUGAAGAAAGUAAAUACAUCAAUCAUGCCUGACGGGACGAAGAAAGCAUAUGUUAUGCUGACACCAAACCAUAGUGCAUUAGAUGUGGCAAAAAAAAUCAAAGCCAUUUAAAAGUUGAUUCUCCAUCUUCCUUUCCUUUCUAUGACAAUCUGGUGGUUAUAUAAGGUUCUGGAGUUAGAAACUAAAAGCUCAUGAUUUAUAUUUGUAUGCAGGUGAUCUUAUGCUGCAAUUUUCUCUAGUGUUUAUAGGUACAGAUUUGUAGUUUCAGCUUAAUUAUGACCGCUCUCUGGAAGUUUGUAAAGUUGACGACGUGGAGCCAUUUAGCUCUUGGUUCUCAAUUGGACUGAUGUUCUUUUUUUAAAAAAAAAUUCACAGCAAAUGCAAUAAUGCAGAGAUUAGUUUAGUUGGGAGAAAAUAGUGACAUAUUGCAGGCAUUUCCUAGUUCCUACCAACUAUCGACAAAAGUGCAAGGCACACUUGGAUCAUAGCCCUCUUAGCAACGGUACAAUACAAUUCUUCCCUCUGAUUUUUUUUGUUUUCAUUUUUCCUGCUGAAUAAGGGAAAAGAAGAACAAGUGGAGCCCUAGCUUUUGAUACUCUGUUUCCUUAUAAAUCUAUAACCAGCACUACCAGCUACAUAUAAAGAUGAGCAUUAAUUUCUAACAAACCCUUGGUUUUGCAAAGGUGGUACGUAAUCCUAUAAGUAGAGCUUGAGGAGGGUGGUGGGUUCGCAGCCUUAUUCCAACCAUAUGAAGGUAGAAAUGUUGUUAUCACAUCCAAUCAUUCAAAAUGUUUAAGGAUAAUUUUGGAAUAUUAAAGAACAUGAUUAUAUCAACCCAAUCUUGUUUAAAAAACAAAAACAAAAGUAAAGAAUAUUUCAAUUUACAAAA